rnacentral:lncRNA from 1 species
UGAGUUAGUUAGGUUUUGGUUAGGGUUUGAUUUAGGAUUUAGGGUUGGAGUAGGGUUUAGGAUUUGGUUUAGAAGUUGCUUAGGAUUUAGGAUUGGACUAGGAUUUAGGAUUUGAUUUAGGAUUUAGGAUUUUCUUAAGAUUUAGAAUUUAGGAUUUGGUCUAGGAUUUGAUUGAAGUCUAUUAGGAUUUUAGUAUUUAUUCAUGUUUUAGUCAAAUAUGUAAUUGUGCCUUUUUCAUUUGUAUAGGCAAGAAAAAAAAUCAAAGAUAUGAAUGUUUAUUUGAGAUUUUUAGUAAAGAAGCCUAAGAAACUUUAGGAAGUGAGAGCUCAUGGAAUAGACAUGUCUAUAAAAAAAGAGGCAAACUAACCAUUUGUAAUACAUAUUGUGCUCAUGUGGACAAUACACAACUUUCUUGGCUAUGGAGUAGCUAGUAGUUUAUAGACUUAGGAAUUGUAUAGAUAUCCACCUUGCGGUCUUUAUAAAAUGAAUUUAUAUUCUUUUAAUUAUUUUAAGAAAACCAUAUACCAUGGUUAUAGGAAGUAUCUCCCAAAAUUGUAAGUUUAAUAAAAUGGAUGAGCUUAGCUAAGGGCUUUCAAAGCAAUGGAGGAUUAUAACUAGCUUUGCCAA